rnacentral:rRNA from 1 species
GGGCCCGCACAAGCGGUGGAGUAUGUGGUUUAAUUCGAUGCAACGCGAAGAACCUUACCAGGGUUUGACAUCCUGCGAAUCUCUUGGAAACAGGAGAGUGCCUUCGGGAACGCAGUGACAGGUGGUGCAUGGCUGUCGUCAGCUCGUGUCGUGAGAUGUUGGGUUAAGUCCCGUAACGAGCGCAACCCUUAUCCUUACUUGCCAGCACGUAAUGGUGGGAACUUUAAGGAGACUGCCGGUGACAAACCGGAGGAAGGAGAGGAUGAUGUCAAGUCAUCAUGGCCCUUACGGCCUGGGCUACACACGUGCUACAAUGGGGAGUACAAAGGGUAGCAAUACCGCGAGGUGGAGCAAAUCCCAUAAACCGUGGCUCAGUUCAGAUCGUAGGCUGCAACUCGCCUACGUGAAGGCGGAAUCGCUAGUAAUCGCAGGUC